rnacentral:lncRNA from 1 species
CUCUUUCAUGUCCUAUAAUUUUUAAUACAUAACAGGAUUACUGUGCUAUUAAGAGCACAACAGUUUUUAUGCUCGUAACUUUCUAACCACCUAUUCAGGAUUACUGUACUAUUAGGAGUACAGCAGUGCUUGUGCUCCUAACUUUCUAACCACCAAUCCAAUUUGAUGAGUUGUUAGGAUGAGAGAGAGCGAAGAGAAAUUGGGAAGAAAUUUGUGUCUCAAUUUCUUUUUUCUUUGAAUUUCUCUUAAACUUUUUUUCUAUUUUUCAUCUUAACUAUUCAUAAAACUUGAUAAAUGAUUAGAAAGUUAGGAGCAAAAUUGAUGAAUAGUUAUAAAGUUAGGAGUACAAAAGCUAGUGUGCUCCUAAUAACACAUUAGCCCUACUCAUUAUAUAUAUAUAUAUAUAUAUAUAUAGAGUAGGGCUGCUGUGCUCUCAGGAGCACGGAGGCCCCUGAGUCGUUUUCGAUAAUGGAGUUUUCGAAUCGACGAUCGGCUCCGUUAAACUUGAUCUAGUGUAUUUAAAGUUUCUAGAAAAUAAUUUUUGUGAUUUUUCGAUAUCAUUUACCUAGUGAUCGAAAGGAUUCAAAAUCAAUAAUUUUUAACGGCUGAAAAUAAAAAUCCUAUAAAAAGUGGCGAUAUAGCAUUAAAAUUUUCGAUCAGAAAUAUAGAUCUUGUUGUAGAUGGUAUAAAGAAUUUUCUAUCAAAAUUUCAUCUGAUUUGAAUACUUCU